rnacentral:piRNA from 1 species
CAUGAGUGCUGGGAAACAAAUUUGG